rnacentral:rRNA from 1 species
UACGAAGGGGGCUAGCGUUGCUCGGAAUCACUGGGCGUAAAGGGUGCGUAGGCGGGUCUUUAAGUCAGAGGUGAAAUCCUGGAGCUCAACUCCAGAACUGCCUUUGAUACUGAGGAUCUUGAGUUCGGGAGAGGUGAGUGGAACUGCGAGUGUAGAGGUGAAAUUCGUAGAUAUUCGCAAGAACACCAGUGGCGAAGGCGGCUCACUGGCCCGAUACUGACGCUGAGGCACGAAAGCGUGGGGAAGCAAACAGGG